rnacentral:lncRNA from 1 species
UGUAGAUGUGCUGAGUCAUGAGAAAAACGUUUUUUUUAAACAAUUUCGUGAGGAAACUUAUGCUUAUGCUUUGGUUAGAUGCGAAUGGGCCUCAGACGUGUCCGGGUUCUCCAGACAGUCUACUGCUCAGAUUUGGACUCACUGGUGCUGACGACAUGAGUCUGCCACCAAAGGAGAUGCAAUGCUCUGGUUAGGGUUAACACCAAAAUGGCUUCAACACCCCAGUUAAUGAAGAAGGGAGUGACGAAUCACGGUGAAUCUCAUCACUGUAAUUGCUUGUGUUUACAUGUAUAAUGUAAUGGGAGUAUUAUAAGCCAUUAAAUUCAAGUCUAAGUAUGUUAUCAUUUCAACCGCAGGAACUCGAGGCUUUUCACUUGCUGAGCCCUAAAGGUAUAGACAUGUUGCGACUGCUGGGUCUUAAUGCCGAUAAAGACGGGGCACACCCGUUACCUUGCUGCGCUUGUGUACUAAGAGCGUAAUGGUAUUAACAUAAGCCAUCUGCAAUCAGAUAUGAGCCUGCACGCUCAAAUGCUGUGUUGACGUGUGGGAUUAGUAAUCUCAUUUUUUACACUUCCUGGGAAAAGUAGUCAGCGUCACAUUUUACUAGCUGCUUUUAAAGAUGGUAAAAUUGACAUCGGGCGGUGAGUUUGUCGUCCUGGACGUUGUUGGAAAUAAUGGGAGUUAAUGUGGGGGUGACCUGGGGGUCGUGUGAGGGGGCACUGGCUUGAGACUGGCUUGAUUUCACCUCUCCGUCUGUAUUAAAGUGCCUUUGCUGCUGCACGGAGCGCGUGUGGUGGACGCAGGCCAUUAGCCGGCGGCUAAAAAAAGACUGUUAACAGUAAAACUGACAGCAGAGAGACAGAAAAAAGACAGCGGGCGUCACAGAGGAGGGGCUGAGAACUAGACAUGACACACGGGACACUUUUACAGUUUCACUUGUUAUGUUUGAGCACAAUCUGGUCACCAUCUAGUUUGUGGAAGGUGACGCUGUCACGGCUUGAUAAUCUUAUACAAGCAUUGAUAGACAGAUAAAAGUCAUUUGG